CUCUAACUAUAUCCAUGCAGCCCCUUAAUCAAUCACACAUACAAAUUAGCUUUGAUCUCGAACUGUUGCCGGAGUCCUCUUCUUCUUUUCUGUGUUGCAAGUGCAUGUAGUGCCUGCUUGCCUCUGUCUUUCUCCGUCUGGAAGGUAGGUUGUUUAUUUGAGAGGUUUGGAUGAAAAUUCCUCAUAACAGUCUUAAUGCACUUAGAUUGCAGUGUUUAUUAUGAUUUGAAGUGAAUCUAAAAUUCCUCUUCGUGUUUUGGGUCCCUCCUUUGCUUUUGCACUUUAAAUCCCUUGCUGCCUAAAUUCAACAACACAUAAAUAGUCUGCUUAUGUCUACAGAUGGUUUCAAUACUCAAAGUAAAGGAAGAUACUAUUUGUUUUGAUACAAGUCAAAUUUGGUAUUCAAAUCAAUGGUAUAUUUAUCAUGUUUAUUAUGAUCAUCAUUGUUGUACAUGUUUAUAAAAUGAUAAAUCCUUGGUUUAACAGACAAACUUUGUUCAAUGCCACUGAUAUAGACGUAAUCCAGGAUUCACUUGGUUGGAAAUGAAAUUUUUAAUAUGAUUGUGGAAAUAAAUCCAAAAAUGGUAAUUGAAAGGAAGUUUUGUAAUAUUCCAGAAUUUGAAAGAAGAAUAGGGACUGAAAUCGGUAAGAUUCCAGAAUUUGAAGCUUUGAUAUGAUAAUUUUGUCGCGCGAUUGUCAAGGUCGAUUGUACUUGGAUCUCAAUAUUGUGUUAUUAUGGGUUUUCGGUUUGAUCUGUUGUUUGGUUGUCUUCCGCAGUUCUAAAUAUUGUUCAUUGAAAUAUUUGGGUGUUUUUGCUCUGUUGAAUCACCUUUCGUUCUUAUAAUGUCAUAUUUUUGGUAUGCUGGGUUUUGAGAAAUGAGAUAGCUACAAAGAAAGUGUGCAGUUUAUUGAUCAUAUUUGGUAUGCUGCGUUUUGAUCCUCAAGGAUUAGACUUUGCAAUUAGAAGUGGAGAUUAUUGUUUUUACUGUUUUCUCUUUCUUUAUUUGUUUUUAGGUAUGAAAAAUGUAAUUUGUUGUUUUUAUGUAGUUUAGACUGGAAAGUUGUAUAUGGUGGGAUAUUAAGCUUCUGUAUCAUUGUUGCUGUAUUUAUUUGAUGUGAAAUUUGGGAUUUUGUGAUCAAAAGAUUAGUUAUUAUAUCAAUGCUUUAUGAUACUACUUGCAUUAAGUGGAGGUUUUUUUGGCCAGAUCACCUUAGUGACUUGGUCAUGCUCAAUUUUGUGGUGUACUAAUGAAACUACUGUCAUUGUUUGGUGGCAGACGAACAUAUGAAUUAGCUAGAUUUUGACCGGAAACCUCACUGAUUGUGCACACAACUCCAUCCAUUCAAGAGAAAACUCCAUCAACGGCUAUUUCAGGAGCAUACUUCAAUUCAAUUUAUGCAUCGUAAUACAAAAUUUUGGCCAAAAUGUACCUCACUUCAGAACAUAAUUUCAAUAAAAACAAUUCCUCUGGAAUUUUUCCCUGCGUGCCUUACAUAAAAAUUUCUGGUAUCUAAUUCUAUAAUAUUAACAACAUUACCAU